rnacentral:rRNA from 1 species
CCUACGGGUGGCAGCAGUGAGGAAUAUUGGUCAAUGGGCGCGAGCCUGAACCAGCCAAGUAGCGUGAAGGAUGACUGCCCUACGGGUUGUAAACUUCUUUUAUAAAGGAAUAAAGUGAGGCACGUGUGCCUUUUUGUAUGUACUUUAUGAAUAAGGAUCGGCUAACUCCGUGCCAGCAGCCGCGGUAAUACGGAGGAUCCGAGCGUUAUCCGGAUUUAUUGGGUUUAAAGGGAGCGUAGGCGGGCAUUUAAGCCGGCGGUCAAAUGUCGGGGCUCAACCCCGGCCUGCCGUCGGAACUGGGUGCCUUGAGUGGGCGAGAAGUAUGCGGAAUGCGUGGGGUAGCGGUGAAAUGCUUAGAUAUCACGAAGAACUCCGAUUGCGAAGGCAGCCUACUAAACUGCCACUGACAUUGAUGCUCGAAAGUGUGGGUAUCAAACAGGAUUAGAUACCCUAGUAGUC